GACGAACGCUGGCGGCGUGCCUAACACAUGCAAGUCGAACGCAGUUGCGAACGGGUGAGUAACGUGUAGGUAACUGCCUCAUAGCGGGGGAUAACUAUUGGAAAAGAUUGCUAAUACCGCAUACUGUGAGAUGGACCGGCGUGGUAUUAGCUAGUUGGUGAGGUAAAGGCUCACCAAGGCGACGAUACAUAGCCGACCGGAGAGGGUGGUCGGCCAAACUGGGACUGGCGCACGGGCCCGACUCCUACGGUAAGCCGCAGUAGGGAAUGUGCGGAAAAGGGCUGAAGGCUGACCGAGGAACUGCGCGUGGGUGAAGAAGGGUUUCGGGUCGUAAAGCUCUGUUUGUGGAGGAGCGGUAACUAACCAGAAAGGGACGGCUAACUACGUGCCAGCAGCCGCGGUAAGAC
rnacentral:rRNA from 1 species